rnacentral:rRNA from 1 species
CUCGUAGGCGGCUUAGCAAGUCGGGUGUGAAAACUCCAGGCUCAACCUGGAGACGCCACUCGAGACUGCUAUGGCUAGAGUCCGGUAGGGGACCACGGAAUUCCUGGUGUAGCGGUGAAAUGCGCAGAUAUCAGGAGGAACACCGGUGGCGAAGGCGGUGGUCUGGGCCGGCACUGACGCUGAGGAGCGAAAGCGUGGGAGCAAACA